rnacentral:rRNA from 1 species
AUUGAACGCUGGCGGCAGGCCUAACACAUGCAAGUCGAGCGGCAGCGGGAAAGUAGCUUGCUACUUUUGCCGGCGAGCGGCGGACGGGUGAGUAAUGCCUGGGGAUCUGCCCAGUCGAGGGGGAUAACUACUGGAAACGGAAGCUAAUACCGCAUACGCCCUACGGGGGAAAGCAGGGGACCUUCGGGCCUUGCGCGAUUGGAUGAACCCAGGUGGGAUUAGCUAGUUGGUGAGGUAAUGGCUCACCAAGGCGACGAUCCCUAGCUGGUCUGAGAGGAUGAUCAGCCACACUGGAACUGAGACACGGUCCAGACUCCUACGGGAGGCAGCAGUGGGGAAUAUUGCACAAUGGGGGAAACCUGAUGCAGCCAUGCUGCGUGUGUGAAGAAGGCCUUCGGGUUGUAAAGCACUUUCAGCGAGGAGGAAAGGUUGGUAGCUAAUAACUGCCAGCUGUGACGUUACUCGCAGAAGAAGCACCGGCUAACUCCGUGCCAGCCGCCGCAGUAAGAC